GAAGAGAUGGCUGAGUGGUUUAAGGCAACGGUUUGCUAAAUCGUCAUACGUUUACGUAUCGUAGGUUCGAAUCCUAUUCUCUUUG
rnacentral:tRNA from 1 species